CUACGGGUGGCUGCAGUGGGGAAUAUUGCACAAUGGGCGCAAGCCUGAUGCAGCAACGCCGCGUGAAGGAUGAAGGCCUUCGGGUUGUAAACCUCUUUUAGCAGGGAAGAAGCGAAAGUGACGGUACCUGCAGAAAAAGCACCGGCUAACUACGUGCCAGCAGCCGCGGUAAUACGUAGGGUGCAAGCGUUGUCCGGAAUUAUUGGGCGUAAAGAGCUCGGAGGCGGUUUGUCACGUCUGCUGUGAAAAUCCAAGGCUCAACCUUGGACUUGCAGUGGGUACGGGCAGGCUAGAGUGCGGUAGGGGAGAUGGGAAUUCCUGGUGUAGCGGUGGAAUGCGCAGAUAUCAGGAGGAACACCAAUGGCGAAGGCACAUCUCUGGGCCGUAACUGACGCUGAGGAGCGAAAGCGUGGGGAGCGAACAGGAUUAGAUACCCCUGUAGUC
rnacentral:rRNA from 1 species